UACGAAGGGUGCAAGCGUUACUCGGAAUUACUGGGCGUAAAGCGUGCGUAGGCGGUUUGUUAAGUCUGUUGUGAAAGCCCCGGGCUCAACCUGGGAAUGGCAAUGGAAACUGGCGAGCUAGAGUACGGUAGAGGAGAGUGGAAUUCCCGGUGUAGCAGUGAAAUGCGUAGAGAUCGGGAGGAACAUCAGUUGCGAAGGCGGCUCUCUGGACCACUACUGACGCUGAGGCACGAAAGCGUGGGGAGCAAACAGG
rnacentral:rRNA from 1 species